ACGAUAACGGCGUCGAGCGGCGGACGGGUGAGUAAUGCCUAGGAAAUUGCCCUGAUGUGGGGGAUAACCAUUGGAAACGAUGGCUAAUACCGCAUGAUGCCUACGGGCCAAAGAGGGGGACCUUCGGGCCUCUCGCGUCAGGAUAUGCCUAGGUGGGAUUAGCUAGUUGGUGAGGUAAGGGCUCACCAAGGCGACGAUCCCUAGCUGGUCUGAGAGGAUGAUCAGCCACACUGGAACUGAGACACGGUCCAGACUCCUACGGGAGGCAGCAGUGGGGAAUAUUGCACAAUGGGCGCAAGCCUGAUGCAGCCA
rnacentral:rRNA from 1 species